rnacentral:rRNA from 1 species
CCUUUACAAUGCACGAAAGUGUGAUAGGGCAACUCCUUGUGCUUAUCCAAAAGAUAGGCUUUUUUAGUAUGUAAUGUAUACUAAGAAUAAGUGAGUGGGACAAGACCGGUGCCAGCAGCCGCGGUAAUACCGGACGUCACAAGUGGAGAUCACGAUUACUGGGUCUAAAGUGUUCGUAGCUGGUCAUAUAAGUCACUUGUGAAAGUUCUGUAGCUUAACUCAGAA